UAGGGAAUCUUCCACAAUGGGCGAAAGCCUGAUGGAGCAACGCCGCGUGUGUGAUGAAGGGUUUCGGCUCGUAAACACUGUUGUAAGAGAAGAAUGACAUUGAGAGUAACUGUUCAAUGUGUGACGGUAUCUUACCAGAAAGGAACGGCUAAAUACGUGCCGG
rnacentral:rRNA from 1 species